rnacentral:rRNA from 1 species
GACAGAGGUGCCAAGCGUUAGGCGGAAUCACUGGGCUUAAAGCGUGUGUAGGCGGACUGGUAAGUACCUUGUGAAAUCCCACGGCUCAACCGUGGAACUGCUCGGUAUACUGCUUGUCUUGAGCCACUUAGGGGCUGUCGGAACAAACGGUGGAGCGGUGAAAUGCGCAGAUAUCGGGAAGAACACCCGUGGCGAAGGCGGCUCUCUGGGGACGGUACUGACGCUGAGACGCGAAAGCGUGGGGAGCGAACAGG